AUGGCCGAGUGUAAGGACGAGGCUCCGAGCCCCAUUCAAUGUGACUCCAAUCUCCAGUCAACAGGUGACACCAACUGGGAUUCCUAUGCUACCACAAUGAAGACAGCAUUCACACCUAAAACAGGAGCGAUGGCUAAUUUAAUACGUCCGAAGAGCGUCAGAAGAUUAGGCUAUACCUACUCGCUUAGCGAUCCUAUUCUGAACCAGACACUUUAUAAUGAGGAGUAUUGUUGGAAGGAGUAUUCUAAAGAAAAUAUGAUAAAAAGUGGGACUUCAAGAGGACUAAGGACCCAUAAGGCUCAUCUUGCUCAAGAUUCCUUUCAGUGGACACUCCCUAAAGACAAAGCAAUCAAACCCCUCCCUUCGGUAACCCUUCCGACCCAGGAAGAGAUAGUCCGGGCAGCGAUAGCAAAUCAGUUUGUUUCGCAGACCAAGAGGGACUUUGUGGAUGUGGCUGAAGCUAAGAGGACCAUGAAAAGGAUUCCCAUUGCCAUGAACUGGAAAGAGUUACUUCCCCGACCUCUGGACACUGAAUUUCGGCACCAUUACCAAGUUCCAGCUAAGAUUCCUGAACUGCAGGAUUUUAGUUUCAAAUAUGGAUGCUACUCAAGUCUGCCUGUUGCUUCCCAGGGUCUAGUGCCUUCCGUGCUGCACAGCUACAUACGGAACCAGGAGCGCACAAAGAAGCAGACCACCUACGCGAGUGACUACGGGAAAGCCUGCCUGGACUUCUUGAUGAUCUUAGACUCAUUUACUCCUUCCCAAAUCCAAAGGUACCUGCAAGGUGUUUCCAGCAAAGACAGACAAAUUCUUGAUCGCUUCAUCCAUUCUCAUUGUGACAUCCCUGAGGAGACAAAUGGGAAAGGAAAACGAAGUCACAAGAAGAGACCCUAAGAGCAAUGGACAUGCCCAGCUCAUCCCAGUCAUCAUCUAAUAAUCAAGGACAAAUAGGAGAGAUUGCUCCAAGUAUAUUGUGGUAUCAUGAAUAUGUAUGUUCUGUUGUGUUCUGUUUUUAAAUGAAACCAAUUAAAGUUAUAAAUCUCCCCCCCCUCCGCCCCAAUACAGCUUUAGCUGAGUGUCAUCGGUUUUGAUGUCACUUGUUUCCCUCUUUUUAUCUUUAUAGUUUUUGGUUUCAGUUCUGAGUUCCUCCCCAGAGAAGUUUCAGCUUCCCAAUAAUGAAAAUAUUUUAAUGACUUUCCAUUGUUGAUUUUUGUUUUGAAUGUUGUAAAAAAAUCAAUCUUCACUUUGGGGAAUUCUCCAAAGAUUCACUGUAUGUUGUUAAUCCAGUGUAUGAUUACAUCUUACAAGAAUAUAUGAGAAAAAUCCAUUUAUGUAGUUCUGAAAUCCUUAUUGUUGCCUUAACUGUAUUCUUGAACUGUCAGGUUCUGAAAAAAAAUACUAAAACAUCAGACAAUAAACAUGGUCUUGUUAAUCCCUGCAUUUUGGAGGAUUUCUUUACAUUAAAAAAAAAAAAGAUGUUUUUAUGUGAAUGGGUGUUUUGCCUGCAUGUAUAUACUGCUCCUUAUACAUGCAGUACCCUGGACAGCCAGAAGAGGGCUUUGGUCCACUGGAACUAGUCAUAGAGGACUGUUAGCCGUUUUGUGAGUGCUGGGGACUGAAUCAGGGUCCUCUACAAGAGCAGCCAGUGCUCUUAAUGGCUGAGCGGUCUCUCCAGCCUGCCCUACUCUAUUUUUGACCGCAGGAUUAUGCAAAGCGCCUCUGCUGACUAAUUUUCUCAUUACAUCGUCGUUUUUAAAAACUUGGUUGUUCUUGCUUUCAGAUUGAAUUGCAUUUGAAUUGUUACUAACAUCGCAAUUCAUCUGUUUCUUUUUUUUUUUUUUCUUCACAUCUACUCAGUGCACGUCCCUGCUACAAUUCUCUCCUGCCUUAACUUCAAGUCUGGUUUUUUAUCUUUUUUUUCUUUGUCUGGUGUGUGUGUGUGUGUGUGUGUGUGUGUGUGUGUGUGUGUGUGUGUGUGUGUGUGUGUGUGUUGUCUGCAUAUAUGAAUGUGACCAUGUGCGUGCUUGGUAGCCUCGGAGAUCAGAAAAGGGCACUAGAUCUCCUGGGACUGGAGUUACAGGGGUUGUGAGCCACCAUGAAGUCGCUGGGAGCCUGGGUCCUCUGCAAGAGUAUUCAGUGCUCUAACCACUGAGACACCUCUCCAGCCCUCAUUUGUAGCUUGCUCUCAGCUCCCAUAUAGAAAGGAUUUCUGCCUGAGUCUUGCCUUUUAGUGCGGCAAACUGUGUCUUUUGAUGCUAGAAUGUACUUAGCCCCACAGUGAUAGUGAUGCUUGAUUCACUUGAUCUGAGAUUUUCUGUACCAUUAUUGCCGUUUGCCCUUCUUGCUCUUCAAUGUUUCUACUUUUCUCUACCUUUUAAGCAUGCAGCUUUUUGUUUUCAUCCUUUAUCACACAUUAUUAUUACUAAAUUUAAAUUUCUGCACCCAAUUGUAUGUAUAAAUCAUCUAAUCCCUAUAUUCCCAGUGCCUUUAGCUCCUUACCUAUCCCCUUAUUUACUGAGGGGGGAAAAAAACAUUUUAUUUUCUCCACUUUGUUUUUUGCCUAUAAUUCCAUCCCCUGCACACAUAGCAC
rnacentral:lncRNA from 1 species